CUUGGUCAUUUAGAGGAAGUAAAAGUCGUAACAAGGUUUCCGUAGGUGAACCUGCGGAAGGAUCAUUAUUGAAAUUAUUGGUGAGGGUUGUAGCUGGCCUUUCGGGGCAUGUGCACACCCGAGCCCUUAAUCCACUUUACACCUGUGCACUUAAUGUAGGUCACCCUUGAAAAGGUGACCUAUGUCUUAUCAUCAACCCAUAGUAUGUCCAAUAGAAUGUAAUCGAUAUCCUCGCCCUAAAAAAGCGUUGAUAAACUUAUACAACUUUCAACAACGGAUCUCUUGGCUCUCGCAUCGAUGAAGAACGCAGCGAAAUGCGAUAAGUAAUGUGAAUUGCAGAUUUUCAGUGAAUCAUCGAAUCUUUGAACGCACCUUGCGCCCCUUGGUAUUCCGAGGGGCAUGCCUGUUUGAGUGUCAUUGAAUCCUCAACCGCGCCGAUUGAUUUCGGCGGGGCUUGGACUUUGGAGCGUGCUGGCGAAGGUCGGCUCCUCUUUAAAUGCAUCAGCGGAAGAAACCUUUGUCUUUCCCGCCUUCGGUGUGAUAAUCGUGUUGCGCCGCGGUGGAACUUCAACGAUCCGCUCACAAUGGUCUUCGGACGAAACCUCAUGUCAUCUUGACCUCAAAUCAGGUAGGACUACCCGCUGAACUUAAGCAUAUCAAUAAGCGGAGGAAAAGAAACUAACAAGGAUUCCCCUAGUAACUGCGAGUGAAGCGGGAAAAGCUCAAAUUUAAAAUCUGGCGGUCCUCGCGGCCGUCCGAGUUGUAAUCUGGAGAAGCGUUUUCCGCGUCGGACCGUGUACAAGUCUUCUGGAAUGGAGCGUCGUAGAGGGUGAGAAUCCCGUCUCUGGCACGGACCGCCGAUGCUUUUGUGAUACGCUCUCGAAGAGUCGAGUUGUUUGGGAAUGCAGCUCAAAACGGGUGGUAAAUUCCAUCUAAAGCUAAAUAUUGGCGAGAGACCGAUAGCGAACAAGUACCGUGAGGGAAAGAUGAAAAGCACUUUGGAAAGAGAGUUAAACAGUACGUGAAAUUGUUGAAAGGGAAACGUUUGAAGUCAGUCGCGUCGGUCGAGACUCAACCUUGCUCUUUUGCUCGGCGCACUUCUCGGCCGACGGGUCAGCAUCAAUUUCGACCGUCGGAUAAAGGCCGAGGGAAUGUGGCAUCUUUCGGGAUGUGUUAUAGCCUUCGGUUCGCAUACGGCGAUCGGGAUUGAGGAACUCAGCGCGCCUUCAUCGGUCGGGGCUUCGGCUCACGUUAACGCGUUUAGGAUGCUGGCAUAAUGGCUUUAAGCGACCCGUCUUGAAACACGGACC
rnacentral:rRNA from 1 species